rnacentral:rRNA from 1 species
AUUGAACGCUGGCGGCAUGCUUUACACAUGCAAGUCGAACGGUAACAGGGUGCUUGCACCGCUGACGAGUGGCGAACGGGUGAGUAAUGCGUCGGAACGUGCCGAGUAGUGGGGGAUAACGCAGCGAAAGUUGUGCUAAUACCGCAUACGUACUGAGGUAGAAAGUGGGGGACCUUCGGGCCUCACGCUAUUCGAGCGGCCGACGUCUGAUUAGCUAGUAGGUGAGGUAAAGGCUCACCUAGGCGACGAUCAGUAGCGGGUCUGAGAGGAUGAUCCGCCACACUGGGACUGAGACACGGCCCAGACUCCUACGGGAGGCAGCAGUGGGGAAUUUUGGACAAUGGGCGAAAGCCUGAUCCAGCCAUGCAGCGUGUCUGAAGAAGGCCUUCGGGUUGUAAAGGACUUUUGUCAAGGAGGAAAUCCCUAGUGCUAAUAACACUGGGGGAUGACAGUACCUGAAGAAUAAGCACCGGCUAACUACGUGCCAGCCGCCGCGGUAA